rnacentral:rRNA from 1 species
UACAGAGGUGGCAAGCGUUGUUCGGAAUUACUGGGCGUAAAGGGCGCGUAGGCGGUUCGUUAAGUCCUGUGUGAAAUCCCCGGGCUCAACCUGGGAAUUGCGAUGGAGACUGCAAGGCUAGAAUCUGGCAGAGGGGGGUAGAAUUCCACGUGUAGCAGUGAAAUGCGUAGAGAUGUGGAGGAACACCGAUGGCGAAGGCAGCCCCCUGGGUCAAGAUUGACGCUCAUGCACGAAAGCGUGGGGAGCAAACAGG